rnacentral:rRNA from 1 species
UACGUAGGGUCCGAGCGUUGUCCGGAAUUAUUGGGCGUAAAGGGCGCGUAGGCGGCAUGCCAAGCGUGUGGUGAAAGCCCGGGGCUCAACCCCGGGUCGGCCGUGCGGACUGGCGUGCUCGAGCACUGUAGGGGCGGGUGGAAUUCCGGGUGUAGCGGUGGAAUGCGUAGAGAUCCGGAAGAACACCGGUGGCGAAGGCGCUCUGCUGGACCAUAACUGACACUCAGGGACGAAAGCUAGGGGAGCGAAUGGG